AGAUUGAACGCUAGCGGGAUGCUUUACACAUGCAAGUCGAACGGCAGCGCGGACUUCGGUCUGGCGGCGAGUGGCGAACGGGUGAGUAAUAUAUCGGAACGUGCCCAGUAGCGGGGGAUAACUACGCGAAAGCGUGGCUAAUACCGCAUACGCCCUACGGGGGAAAGGGGGGGAUUCUCGGAACCUCUCACUAUUGGAGCGGCCGAUAUCAGAUUAGCUAGUUGGUGAGGUAAAGGCUCACCAAGGCACGAUCUGUAGCUGGUUUGAGAGGACGACAGCCACACUGGGACUGAGACACGGCCCAGACCUCCUAGGGACGCGAGGCAGGUGGGGAAUUUGGACAAUGGGCGCAAGCCGUGAACUCCGAGCAAUGGCCGACGUGCAAGGAAGAA
rnacentral:rRNA from 1 species